rnacentral:rRNA from 1 species
UACGAAGGGGGCUAGCGUUGUUCGGAAUUACUGGGCGUAAAGGGCGCGUAGGCGGCUUCGAUAGUCGGGUGUGAAAUGCCUGGGCUCAACCCAGGAAUUGCACUCGAAACUCCGAGGCUUGAGUGUGGGAGAGGUUGGUGGAAUUCCCAGUGUAGAGGUGGAAUGCGUAGAGAUCCGGAGGAAGACCGGUGGCGAAGGCGGUCUGCUGGGCAGUUUCUGACACUGAUGCGCGACAGCGUGGGGAGCAAACAGG